rnacentral:rRNA from 1 species
AUUGAACGCUGGCGGCAGGCCUAACACAUGCAAGUCGAGCGAGCGGCGGACGGGUGAGUAAUGUAUGGGGACUGCCCGAUCUAGGGGGAUCACUACUGGAAACGGUAUCUAAUACCGCAUACUAUCGGAUUACUCAUAUGGGAUUAGCUAGGAGGUGAGGUAAAGGCUCACCUAGGCGACGCUCCCUAGCUGGUCUGCGAGGUGGAUCAGCCACACUGGGACUGAGACACGGCCAAGACUACUACGGAGGGAGCAGUGGGGAAGAUUGAAAGAUGGGCGCAAGCCUGAUGCAGCCAUGCCGGGUGUAUGAAGAAGGCCCGAGGGUUGUAAAGUACUUUCAGUCGGGAGGCGUUACCGACAGAAGAAGCACCGGCUAACUCCGUGCCAGCAGCCGCGGUAAUUC